GGCGGUAUGCUUACACAUGCAAGUCGAACGAAAGUUUUAACUUUAGUGGCGAACGGGUGCGUAAUACGUGAGAAUCUGCCCUUAGGAGGAGAAUAACUUCUGGAAACGGUUGCUAAGUCUCCAUAUGCCGAGAGGUGAAAUAGUUUAGACUGCCUAGGGAUGAGCUCACGCCUGAUUAGCUUGUUGGUGAGGUAAUGGCUCACCAAGGCCACGAUCAGUAGCUGGUUUGAGAGAACGAUCAGCCACACUGGGACUGAGACACGGCCCAGACUCCUCCGGGAGGCAGCAGUGAGGAAUUUUCCGCAAUGGGCGAAAGCCUGACGGAGCAAUACCGCGUGAGGGAUGAAGGAUUUUGGUCUGUAAACCUCUUUUCUCAAGAAAGAAGUUCUGACGGUACUUGAGGAAUAAGCAUCGGCUAACUCCGUGCCAGCAGCCGCGGUAAUACGGGGGAUGCAAGCGUUAUCCGGAAUCAUUGGGCGUGAAGCGCCUGUANGUUGUUUAAUAAGUCUGUUGUUAAAGACCAGGGCUUAACCCUGGGAAAGCAAUGGAAACUACUAGACUAGAGUAUGAUAGGGGUAGAGGGAAUCUCUAGUGUA
rnacentral:rRNA from 1 species